GCUAUUCUAAUCAUAUUAUGGUAGUAGAAUAAAUCAAAACCAAUAAAGUUUGGCGGUUACCUAUAUCUAGAGAAACUUGCUUUAUUAUCGACAACACCCGUUAAUUUUAACUUUUUUUAUAGUUUUUAUACCGCCGUUUCAGAAUUUAAAUUAAAUUAAAUAUCAUUAAAACAACAACUCAAAAAUCAGGUCAAGGUGAAACUUAUACAAAAGUAAAAGUGAGUUACAUUAAAAUAUAAUUUAAGAAAGAAAUAUACAAAUCAAUAUUUUAGAAAAAGAAUCCAGAAGUAAACUUUAUUUAAAACAGAAAGUAGAAAUUAAACCGUAAUGC
rnacentral:rRNA from 1 species